GCCUUAACUGUGGCGCGAGGCCAACCUUUAUAUGUAGGAUUAAAUACUCGUCUAAUAUAAUGAAUCCAAGCAGGAUUAGAAGCAAAAGAAUAAGGUAUACACAUAACAGUAAUCAUUUUAGCUAGCUCUUCACGAUCCUUAUUUGGAUCGUAAUACAAUAUACCUCCGGUGACUGUGUUUAUUCAUGGUUGAACUAGAUUAGAACCAGUACUUGGGUUAGCAGUUUUUUCAGGACUUGUCCUCCCCUCUUGUUGCGCUUUCAAUUGGAUAUAUCUAGCCUUAUCGCUGGGGUGUAAUUUUAUAUGUUUAACUAAACUACCUGUACCGCUACGAUCUCCAGUAUACCUAUGCACAAGUAAUUUCCCACAAGAUUUACACUUAGCCUUAUUUUGUUC
rnacentral:lncRNA from 1 species